UACAGGAUGCAGUUCAACAAGGAAAAAUGCAAAGUGCUGCACCUAGGGAGGAAACAUGUCCAGCAUACCUACUGCCUAGCAAAUGACCUGCUCAGCAGCAUGGAAGUGGAAAGGGAUCUUGGAGUCCUAGUGGACUCCAAGAUGAACAUGAGUCAUCAGUGUG